GCCCAGACUCCUACGGGAGGCAGCAGUAGGGAAUCUUCCGCAAUGGACGAAAGUCUGACGGAGCAACGCCGCGUGAGUGAUGAAGGUUUUCGGAUCGUAAAGCUCUGUUGUUAGGGAAGAACAAGUACCGUUCGAAUAGGGCGGUACCUUGACGGUACCUAACCAGAAAGCCACGGCUAACUACGUGCCAGCAGCCGCGGUAAUACGUAGGUGGCAAGCGUUGUCCGGAAUUAUUGGGCGUAAAGGGCUCGCAGGCGGUUCCUUAAGUCUGAUGUGAAAGCCCCCGGCUCAACCGGGGAGGGUCAUUGGAAACUGGGGAACUUGAGUGCAGAAGAGGAGAGUGGAAUUCCACGUGUAGCGGUGAAAUGCGUAGAGAUGUGGAGGAACACCAGUGGCGAAGGCGACUCUCUGGUCUGUAACUGACGCUGAGGAGCGAAAGCGUGGGGAGCGAACAGGAUUAGAUACCCUGGUAGUCCACGCCGUAAACGAUGAGUGCUAAGUGUUAGGGGGUUUCCGCCCCUUAGUGCUGCAGCUAACGCAUUAAGCACUCCGCCUGGGGAGUACGGUCGCAAGACUGAAACUCAAAGGAAUUGACGGGGGCCCGCACAAGCGGUGGAGCAUGUGGUUUAAUUCGAAGCAACGCGAAGAACCUUACCAGGUCUUGACAUCCUCUGACAAUCCUAGAGAUAGGACGUCCCCUUCGGGGGCAGAGUGACAGGUGGUGCAUGGUUGUCGUCAGCUCGUGUCGUGAGAUGUUGGGUUAAGUCCCGCAACGAGCGCAACCCUUGAUCUUAGUUGCCAGCAUUCAGUUGGGCACUCUAAGGUGACUGCCGGUGACAAACCGGAGGAAGGUGGGGAUGACGU
rnacentral:rRNA from 1 species